UAAGGUGGUUAUUGCGUCGGGGCUCACCUCUUCCCAUCCCGAACAGAGAAGUUAAGCCCGACUGCGCAGAUGGUACUGCAAUUUGUGGGAGAGUAUGUCGUCGCCUUUC
rnacentral:rRNA from 1 species